rfam:Pseudomonas oryzihabitans strain TSDA-ARS-TSMARC-56511, complete genome.
GAAGUUGUCAUCCUCGGCGGAGAGCAGGGCAUGGAUGAAGUUGGGCGGUAUCUCGUUGAAACGCAGUGGCGAGCGGCGCAUUUCCCCGAAUUCGGCGAUGAGCUUGCCGUCCGCGCUGUACACCCGCAAAGGGAUCUGCAGUUGCACGUUACGCAGGGCAUCGAUGGACGGAAGGCUGGGGCUGAGGUAGAGGAAGGCACCGCUGAGACCCAGCAACAGGCUGCAGACCAGGGCGACCAACGACCACCAGAAAAACUUCAGAACACGCAUCAAGAGACUUUUCGAAUGGAAAGAA